UAUUGUGGCCUCUUCUAUUCUAUCACCACAGUCACACGGGGGCCUCAGGUUGAGGCCCUUCCUGGCAAAGCUGCCCUAGGCCCAGAUGUCACAUCUGCAUGACAACGUCCGUGGACCAUUUGCCCCAGCAGAUUCCCUUUCAUUUCUGAUUGGCCGGCAAGUGGCUGAGGAUCGUCUUACUUGCACCCUGGUGCUGGGCGCUGACCACCUCCCGAAGCACUUGGCCAGGGGGAGAGGAUGCUGGACACAAUCAGGUUCUCCUCGGGGGAGGAGAGAGGGAAUGGCUGCUGGAAGGGUUCCACCGGGGACUCCUACAGCAGCUUGUUAGAUCUCCUUCCUCCCAAUUCCCUGAAGUUGGUGGAACAGGAAGAGGACGAGAAGUCAUGUUUGUAUGUUGUCCCCUUGGAAUCUCUCAAAAAUCCGCAAUAUCCCGAUUUGAGAAAUGAGCAUCACAGAGAAAGCAAAGCGGUAGUUGGAAGCUGCCAAGCUUGUGAGCAACGAGACAGAAUCCACGCCCAGGGCUUUCUAACGGUGGGGCCACGCCCUCCACACUCCACCUCGGCCCUCUGCCCUGCGAUGGUGCAGAGACCGGGUGUGGUCAAGGGGCCUAGGGUGAGGGUCCUGCCAGUACUUUACAGGAAACUCCCCCUCUUUUAGGGGCCUCGUGAGUUCAUCCUGAGGCCUGUGCCAGUCCCUGCGGUUUCUCAUCUCUCCAUCCUGGUCUGUAUGACAAAAUGGCUAAAAAUACCGGGCUCCCCACGGGCCCGCCACCCGGCUAACGCCCUCCCUUGAAUCAGCUCAUUUUUUAGUCUUGGGUAUGCUGCAGAUGAGAGUCCAGGACAAGCCACCUUCGGAAGCUUUGACUCCCAGGAACCCCGCUUGGGUUGGUCCUUGUGCUCUGGUGGAAGAAGCUUGGGCGCUGUCCACUUAGGUCCGUGUGUCCCAUUUCACUGCACAGUCCUGUGCCAGCGCUGCCCAAGUCUUCGAGUGCUCAACAGGACCAGGAGGGCCUAGUGAUGGAAGGACCAACACAUGGUUGGAUGACAGACCCUGAAGGGCCCUUGUGGAGGGGCUCCGUGGGAGUAGGCUGUGAAACCACCCAGGCUGAGGCUCCCCUGUGGGCUUGAGUCAUGCCCGGCCAAAG
rnacentral:lncRNA from 1 species